GGAUAAAAGCUACCCUAGGGAUAACAGGCUGAUCCUGCCCGAGCGUCCACAGCGACGGCGGGGUUUGGCACCUCGAUGUCGGCUCGUCGCAUCCUGGGGCUGAAGUCGGUCCCAAGGGUUGGGGGGUUCACCCAUUAAAGCGGCACGCGAGCUGGGUUCAGAACGUCGUGAGACAGUAUGGAACCGUGCUGUCUAUAAAUCUGGCUAUAUGCUGGGAAGCCUGGUUAGGAUCCUGCGCUACUCAUGCCAUAAUCUUGGCAUGAGUGACAAUGCGUCAGGUGCAGGCGAUCAGCAGGGAAGGCCAGAUGAGCGGCUUGGCUACUAUAUCGCAGGAUUCGUUGACGGCGAAGGUAGCUUCCAUGUGGCGAUUCAACGGAAUCCCACAACCAUGCUUGGAUGGCAAAUCAUCCCCGAACUGCAUAUCUCGCAGCACGAAUGCAAUAAACACGUGCUGGAACUGAUACGCAGGGCGUUGGGAUGUGGCUAUCUGAAGCCGAACGCUCGCAACGAUCCUCGCGAUAAAACAUGGGUGCUUGUGGUACGAUCGCGCAAAGACUUGCUGGAGAAAGUCAUCCCUUUCUUUGAGCGAUACCCACUACGCACCACGAAACGCCAAGACUUCGAAAAGUUUGCUUGCAUUGUGCGUAAAAUGGCUGCGAACGAACACCGAACACCUGAAGGGUUUCGUGCCCUUCUAAAAAUCGCAGCUAGCAUGAACGAUGGCGGUGCUUAUCGGCGCAUCGAUAUCGCAAGCAUCCACGCUCAUCUGGAACCCUCAGAGACUGUACGCCAGACACCUUCGAAGUAGCCCGAAGGUGAAGAUACAGUCCGAACUGCAUGGCGACAUGCAGAGGCAAGUCGAAAGGCUUGCCCGCCUCGUGCAAUGCACGGGGUCAGUAGGCGCACCAAGUGCGCCGAAAGUAACAGAUUGUCGGUCCCUAUCCACCGCAGGCGCAGGAGACUUGAGGGGAGCUGGCCCUAGUACGAGAGGACCGGGCUGGACCGACCGCUGGUGUACCAGUUGUCCCGCCAGGGGCAGUCGCUGGGUAGCCAUGUCGGGACGGGAUAAGCGCUGAAAGCAUCUAAGCGCCAAGCCCACCCCAAGAUCAGGUCUCCCAUCCGGUCAACGGAGUAAGGCCCCCGGUAGAUGACCGGGUCGAUAGGCGGCACGUGUAAGCGCAGCAAUGCGUUGAGCCGAGCCGUACUAACCGGCCGAGGGCUUGCCCAC
rnacentral:rRNA from 1 species